rnacentral:rRNA from 1 species
GCAAGUCGAACGGAAAGGCCCUGCUUGCAGGGUACUCGAGUGGCGAACGGGUGAGUAACACGUGGGUGAUCUGCCCUCACUUCGGGAUAAGCCUUGGGAAAUAGGUCUAAUACCGGAUAGGACCGCACUUUAGUGUGUGUGGUGGAAAGUUUUUCGGUGUAGGAUGAGCUCGCGGCCUAUCAGCUUGUUGGUGGGGUAAUGGCCUACCAAGGCGGCGACGGGUAGCCGGCCUGAGAGGGUGUAC